ensembl:lncRNA
ACGAAAUUCGAAUCCCAACAGGAAGUCAGUUAUUUUGAAUUUUCUCUGCAAAAUUUGUGUCGUUUUUGCCAUUUUCAGGGGUUGUACUUUAACGAACUCCUCCUAGAGAUUUAUUCAGAUCAACACCAAACUUUGUCAGUGUAAUCUAAAGGCCUUUGCGAUGUUAAAUUGCGAAGAUCUUGAGGUUUCGUUUAAGGGCGUGUCUGUGGCGGCCUUACAAAUUUCGAUGUCUCGCCAUGGGAAUAAAAGUUAUUGUAACUCAGGCAUAAAAUGUCCGAUCUUGCCCAAACUUCACAUGUUUGAUAAGAGUCCUGGCCUGAACACAUCUGAAGGCCAAUAUUCCAUUGGGUGUGGCAAAAUGCCUCGAUAGCGCCACCUAUACAUUUUCAACGGAGUGCGCCUCGAGCUACGUUUCACGUACAUGUAGAAAAAUUGGUACACACAUAUAACACACCAAUACCUACAAAAAAGUCUCUUGGUACGAAAUUCGAAUCCCAACAGGAAGUCAGUUAUUUUGAAUUUUCUCUGCAAAAUUUGUGUCGUUUUUGCCAUUUUCAGUGGUUGUACUUUAACGAACUCCUCCUAGAGAUUUAUUCAGAUCAACACCAAACUUUGUCAGUGUAAUCUAAAGGCCUUUGCAAUGUUAAAUUGCGAAGAUCUUGAGGUUUCGUUUAAGGGCGUGUCUGUGGCGGCCUUACAAAUUUUGAUGUUUCGCCAUG